UUGCUACAAAAUCAUGUACGAUGUACAUGUAAACAUAUUCCAAAACAUGUAUGGGACGGUCUCACAUCCAAAUUUACGGCUUAAUCUCCAAUUUUCGGUAAGCAUGAUAGCUUACUGCAUUAUACACGAUGUGUAAAAUUUAAUAUAUGAAUAAGAGAAAUCUUGGGGUCUGAACAAAAAACUAACGAAGGGAUAAGGUUAUCCUCUUCGUCUCUCCCGUGAGAUUCGGGAUUUGUUCCCCAAAUCCACUGUCGCUGAGGAGACGAAGGCCAUGGCGGGUCCGGCUAUGGCAGAGGGAGGAGCCGUGCUGGAGGGCUUCUCCCCUUCAUGCGACAGAUGGCGUCGCCAUGCCGGGUACCGGCUGUUUGCUGAUGCCACCGCUCCGUGAGGAGCCUGGUCGAGGACUGUCAGCGUAGCCGCGCCGUGGUAAUGCAAGCGGAGGCCGUUGGCUCCUGGUGCCUCACCCCAUCACUAGAGGAUGGAGGCCAGCUGGACGGCCAAGGUUGGUGAUUCUCCCGUGUACAGUGAGGGCGAAGCAGCCAUGCUCCAAGCCAACCAAUCCCGGUAGAAUCAAUUGUGUGCACGAAGCAAUGAAAAAAAAAGAAGGUAAUACUAGUAGCACCUAAUGUCUUGCGUAGCAAUUGAUUAAGACUUUGAAUCUGCUUGAGUGUCUUCCCAUGUGCUAAUCAAACUCUUCGAUCCUCUUCUUUCUGCUUCUCUUGUCAUGGCCGAAUUUGUUUCUUCAGCCGAUUACUUUUUUUUUUCGCUUUGCUGUUGAUGGCAAACUUAGAAGGCCUGUUCUCAUUAUCUGUUCUCUAGUUCUUGUUUGUUGUACAAGACUGAUGAACUAUUUGUGUGAUUCGCCUGAGUGUAUAUGCGUACAUGAUAAAUAAUCCUUGUUAGAUUACAGAUUAACCACCAGAAAACAUGAUAAUAGACAAAGAUUAAACAAGGAAAACACUAGUAUUAAUUUUCCUGAUGAAGGCCUUUAAUCCUUGGAUCGUUGCUUCAUCCUCUGCAAUGUUCUUCUUCUUUUCUCUGGCCUAUUGCUCUGAUGUGUACAGCGAAAGUGUUUGAUAACAUGUGAAAAGUCAAACAGAGAGAGGAGCGAAUCAUUGAAAUGAACAGUGAUCUAUCAUUGAUGGAAAUUGGGGAUAUUUAUACCUAGUAGAUGACGGUUUACAAAAGAGACGGUUGUCAAAAGAAGAACCGACAUACUCCCUCCGUUCCUAAAUAUAAGUUUUUUUAGAGAUUCCACAAAAAGACUACAUACAAAACAAAAUGAGUGAAUCUAUACUAUAAAUUGUGUCUAUAUACAUCUGUAUGUAGUUCCUUAGUAAAACCUUUAAAAAAACUUAUAUUUAAAAACGGAGGGAGUAGUAUUGAUUAAUUAAAUAAUUAAUACAUAUUAAUUAUUCCUAACACUCCCGUCCCGCUCUGCCGCCCGAAAUCGAAUCCCUCCGUCGCUCUCGAAUCCGCGGGCGAUAGAAUUCCAGGGCAUGCUAUUCGACGGACAUUUUUGCCAGGGUAUUAUUCUACGUAUACUAUAGUUAAAUGUUCCACGGAAUACAUAUUGUGAAAGUGACUACAUUUAUAGGCUGCUUUAAAAGUUUUAUUUCUAUUUGGAUUACUACCAUUCAAAUGGGAGAUGUCUCACAUGAAUGCAGUGAGUCCUCUCUCCUUCCCAAAAUACUCGUAGGAUGAAUGGAUGCAUCUGGAUAUAUUUUAGCCUUAAAUAUAUUUAUUUUUAUCAUUUUUAUGACAAGUAAUUUUGGAUGGAGGGAAUGUUUUUUAUCUUUUGUUCUUUUCUUGAUUGGUUUGAUGCCGCUUAUUGGCACAAUUCUUUUCGCCAAUUCUCAUAGAGUCUCGAGAAUGAUGAAAAAGGGUUUCCCCCGCUUCAUAUUACUUCCUCCGUUCAGAAUUACUUAUCGUAAAAAUAAAUAAAAAUGGAUGUAUUUAAAAUCAAAAUACAUCUAUAUAAUCCAUACCUCGAACAAGUAUUUUUGGACGUAGGGAAUAUAAAGCAAACACCACAAACUUCCAAGCAUCAUAUAAAAUAAAUUGAGUCAAAACGAUCAUAAGUUCAGAUAGGGGCACAGCACAACACACCCCAAAGAAACAAAAAGUCUGGAGAAUCAUACCUUUCAUAUAUUUAUUCCAAAAUUGUAAACCCACAUUGUGAGAGUCGACUAAAAAAAACUAGGUCCUUUCACCCUAUGUGCCUAGAUCUAUUUAUCCUGAGAGUAGAUAAAAAAAGUUGUAGAGAGAUGGAGUACAAAAUUUCAAGAAGAAAAAUAAACAUUCAACAAUUGAUUUGGUGUGACCUUUAACAGUUGCCCCCUAAAAGCAUCUUCUUAAAUUCACAAAGGCUAACUUAGCACAUCACUAGAUGAAUACGUUUUCACAAAGCGACCGACAGUCUUCAAAAUGAUAGGAUUAUGCAAGGGCUGCAAAUGUAAAGACCCGCUUAGCAUGUACACUCUUCAUUCGAAAUUACUACUUUUCUCGAAAGUGGAUAAAAAUGAAUGAUUCUAGAACUAAAAUACAUCUAGAUACAUUCAUUUCUGCAAAAAGNNNNNNNAAACGGAUGGAGUAUGAAGCAUUUGGUUCAUCAUUUCUCAUCAUAUUAAAUACGUGUAUCAAAUCUACCAGCGUAACUUACAGGUCCAUAGCUAUUUUUAGACGAUAAGCAAAACGAUAGACGGACGUCCUUAUUUUAUCAGCCUGCAAACUCACACAGGCUGGUGCGGGUGAGAGAGAGAAAGGGAGGGGGAUGGGGCCGAGUGACCUUGGCGUUCGGGGCGACGGCUUAGCAGCACCUCGCGGUACUCCGACCUGAGGUCUCCGGCAGCGGCGGCGGCCAUUGGGAUUUGGGACUCCGGUGGCCUCUGUGCGGUCCCCGUGGAACCGCACGUGGUGGACCUGGAAGUGGAACUGGAGGUGUGGCAGCUGGGGCCCACCAUCCCGAGGAAGCUUUUCUUCGAGUGGCCGCUCGUCACGUGCCGCACGCGGCCGGCGACGGGGUCUCACGCGUGGCCGAGGCGCGGCGAGGCCCACAUGGUAGCCGCGACGAGGGUCAGCGCCAGUGCCAUGGCCCGCCUUAGCAACAUCGACGACCCUCUUCGCGCGAGGGGCGUGGCGUCGACGUGUUUCGCGAGCUGUCCGGUUGCCGGCGCACAACAUCGUGCACGGGGAGCGGCGCACAUCGUGGGGAGGAUGCUCUCGUCCCGCUCUGCUGAAGUCAAAUCCCUCCGUCUCUCUCGAAUCCUUUUUUUCAAGAAUAAUACUUGUAUUACUCAAUAAUCAAGUUCUUACAAUCCUCUUGGACAUUUUCCAAAACAACAUCAGAGGCGACCUAGGUCAAAGUUCAGACCCUCUACUCUAGCAAAACAAGCGAGUUUAUCUUCCGAUUUAUUCUGGUUACGAGGAAUAAAAAUAAUACAAGUUCUCCCCAACCAAUCCAUGGCUUGGCACAGCUGCCGGUGGCUGGAAAUGCGGCGCUGACGCUUUGCUAGGCCUGUGCGGGGUGCUCCCCAACCAAUCUAUGGCUUGGCGCAGUCGCCGGUGGCGGAAAAUGCCAAAUCCGGGGGCCGAGACAAAUAGCCGCCAACCUGCAACUUUUCGGCCAGCCGAGGCAAGAGGGACAGGUGGAUGUCAACCUCGGGCGUGGGGCGGCCUGCCGACGUGAUCCCGGUGACUGGUAUGACCGGAAUCGUAGACGGGUGCCCAGCGGCGGUGGGUGGGGGAAUAGUGCGGCUGAAAUGUCCCACCCACCAACCGCUUCCGAUGUAUACAGGGCACCGACGGGGCGAGGGAGAGAACCUGCGUUUUCACGGGUUGGGAUGGGCAUUUUGCCGUGCCCCGUAAAAACUUUUACGGGUCGGACACGUUUACCGGAUCUGAUCGGGCUGCAUUUUUCACGUCGACUAGUGUUUUAACGGUUAAACAAUUAUUUUACGGACCAGAGCAGUAUAUGAGGUCUGCUAGAGAUGCUCUAACUGGGCCAUCAAACUGCCCCUUAAUAAGCAUUCCACUCCAUGUAAUUUCCAAACCGUAGAUGCCACAUAAUUUACGUAUGCUGAUUGGUGCAAUAAAGCUAGGUAAUAAAUCAAUGGUGACCUUGAACAGGGUUGCAACAUGAGUUCGAUUUCUUAGAAAUCAAUAAUUUUAUAUGGUGUACUCCCUCCGUUUCAAAAUAACUGUCUCAAGCCUUUGUACUAGCUCUUGUAUAAAGAUGUACUAAGCUUGAGACAGUUAUUUUAGGACCGAGGGAGUACUAGUUAAGUGCCCGUGCAUUGCCAUGACACAACAAAGAUAUUAAUUAAAACAUGAUUGUAAUGGUAAAAAAAUAGACAUGCAUGGGGCAAAAGUUGAAAGCAUCAAUUAGCCAAAACUUGAAAGCAUCAAUUAUUGCCAAGGCUUACGUGAAGAAUGUGUAGUCACCCAGUGAUGGCUUCCUUAUGGUAUUCAUAUACUAGAUGACCCGUUGCGCCGAUGGCGCAAAGGGCAAGAGCGAACCAAGUUUUCAAACCGUGCACAUUGAAAUAUUUACACACCGAUCAUAAAAUCAUUGGAGCAUAGAAAGGCAUGAGAUCAGUUCAUGCGACUCAUAUAUAUAGCUUUGGCCACCCAUCUUAUGGUACUUCAAGAGAUCAGUUCAUACCAUCUCUGUUUCUAAAUAUAAGAUAUUUUUACAGUUUAAUUAAACUACAAAAAUGUCUUAUAUUAAAGAACGGAGGGUGUACAUUGUACAUUAUAUACAUGGCACUCGGAUUCAGACAAUUAAAUCAAAUAUGUGCUAUCGACAGUGGUGUUUCAAACAUAUAGUACACCCGAUGGUCCUUUUGUGUUCCGAGCUGUGCAAACCGGCUUACUCAUCUAUUCAUCAUCUGCACCAUCCUUUACCAGCAACUCUCGUUCAAAUUAUUUUUUGUCAAAAAUUUCCUUGUUGGGAUGAGAGCCUCUGCUGGAGGUUGUAUCAUCCAAAAAGCAAAGUCUACUAUGUUUGGGAGGAGCUCAUAGCAUAUGGGAGUUUUGUACAUGGCCCGGGAUAUAUGAAAACCCUCCUGAAUUCACCAUAAAAUAGAAUAAGAUAAUGCAUAUUAAAAAUGCAAUUUCAUAUAUUCAUGUAGUCAUGUACUUCUGCUUGAGGACCAAUUUGGUGUGAAGACACAGUUUACCCCGAGAAGCAGAAGAAAUGUAUGGUGUGAGAAAUUCAUCACAUUGUUAAGUUGCAGGAGUAUUGUGUGGAACAUGAAGAUCUAGCAACGUUACUUGUAGCAAGGUCAAAUCCAUGAGAAAGAAAAGGAGAAAUAAGAAAUAACUCAUAAAUGAGAGCACACAGAAAACCAGAGGUUUUCCUUUAUGACAGGGUCUUGGCAGUAGAUGGAAAGAGCUUGCUCAAUGGCAAUACUUAGUAAAUACUAAGAUCAAUCAGAUAAUGCACCAAUAGGAACAAUUUAAAAAAUCUAUACUUGCAUGCGUAUAUAGUUUUAAAAUAAGGCAAUAGCAAUGACGCAUGGGAAAACAGCAAUUCUAUAGGUGACAGUUUCUUAUAGCUGUAUAAUAUUAUGACAAUAUAUUUACCUACCUGAUGAGUGAAAAUGGCAUUACAGUAGGUUGGUAGCAUAAAGAAACCAUCAUGAUGGUGGAUUUAGCAUCCCUUGAUUAAUGUGAAUGUUUGGUAUCAAUUUGUACUAAAUCUCUUGUAGUUAAUGAGAGAAAUAUGACACCAGAGUGGGCUCGUAUUAUAAAUAAACUUAAUGUUAGGUAAGUUGGUCACUGAUGAUGCAAAACCUGGAGGCCGGGGUCAUAUACUCUUUAAAUUCAAGUAUGUAUCACAUUCAUAUACCUCUUAUUAAGACACCAAAUGUUACUAUAUUUCCAAACCAGAAAGUGACAUUUAUGUAAACAUCCAUAAUUAAAAUAGCACCUCACAUUAAGAUCAGUCAUCAGCUAUUAACAUCUCAGGGGGUAUGUACAAUUGAUCCAAGCAAAGCACUCACCGAUCAUGAAAUCCACAUAUCCGCCAGCCUCCCUAUUUCAGACUAUCUACUCCAUUGUCUCCCUCCUACCGACACCCACAGCCCUGUCAGUGAAUUGUAAGCAGAAUAAAAAUAAAUCAAACAACAAUUGAUCUUCUACAGAACUACAGAAUAUGAAGAAACUGAAUCAAGAAACCAAAAGAAAAAUCUGAAUAAGAUUACUCACAACGCAUUCCUCACCUCACAAAUGACCUUGUGUUUCUUGUCUUCCAUGCCAUUUCUUUUUUUUAGAAAAGGAGGGUUACCUCCGGCCUCUGCAUCAGCACGAUGCAUACGGCCCCUUUAUUGCAAAUAAUCAAACGGAAUCCAUGCCAUUUCUACAAAAUAAGAUUGUACAAUGAAGGAGCAGGAAAUCAAUCUUAGUUGCACAGAGAAAAAUAUUUAUUUGCUAGAAGAACUUUUAUUGCUGACUACUGUUCCAUAUAAUAAACUAUAUGUCUCCAUUGUAACUCUGAUUUUGUUUGAAAAUAGUUCCCCCUGCAGCAAUGUUAUACUGAAAGCAGCGGUCCGGUCGAUGAACCACGUCACCGAGUAGGCAGCAGUAAUCAGUCUCACAUUGGGAAAAUGUAUCUAUUAGCAGUGAAAACUGAAACCCUAAACUACUUUAUUGUGAGUUGUACUACAUACGUAUUUAUAGCAUUCUUGUUAAUACAGACCAAGGAAAGUUUGAAUACUCACAUUUGAAUUGUUAAAACUAAAAUCUGGAAUGAAAUUACUUAAACCAAAUAAGAAACAUGAGAUAUGUCACAUGUGUGGAGCUAGGACAUGUUAAAUGGUGUGUAUAAGCUUGGAUAAAAUUAACUGAUAUAGUACCAAUGAAGAUAACAUACAAGUUGAGGAUUAGGAUCUAGUAUCUUCUUGAUGAGCUUAUUUGCUGUUGUCAAGAACCAAGAUGGGAAAUUGGAGCCUGCUUUGUAUAUCUACAUGAACAAGCAGGUUAUCUUUCAGGCACUUCUUUUUUCUCGCAAGAAAUCAACUUACUUUUGACAAAAGAAAUGUAGUAGAACUUAUUCACCGUCUUGUAAAGCGGCAUGAGAUUUUAAUAUUCGAACGGAAGUUAUCUUACCUUGAGGACAAAAAGAAUCACCUUACAUGACCACAAAUCCACCUUGGCACCAUCAUAACCUUUGUUAUUUUUAACCUGUACAUCAAAGAAAGUAGUGAAAAAAUUGAACAAAAUAUUCACUUGAAUGAAAAGAAGUACAUAGCUAAUUCAAGGCAUGGAUGGAAAUUAAGAACCUUGGGAGCAAUACAAUUGGGAGUUCCACAAAUUGUAUGUAGUAUCCAUCUUCCUAAAAGAUAGCAGAAAGAUUUGAAAAAAAUAAUCAGCAGAUUCUAUUGUCUGAUUCGAGAUAGCCAUCGCUGUUAGAUAAAUAUCAAUACACAAAACAAAGCCAAAAGCACUGGGAAAAGCACUAAAUUUUGCAUCAUGAUUCAGACAAUUUACGUACUCUGCCGUGAGCCUGUGAUAGGGAGCUCAAUCCAAAAUUUUCUGCUUGAGUGUCGUUAGCAUCAAGCAGAGGAUUUUCAGGAUGAUAUAAGAAAAUAAAUGCUAUCAACCUACUUUUCUUUCCAUAGAGCACACCAGUAACCAGCACNNNNNNNNNAACCAGCACCCCACAAUAACUUCACAUCGUGGUGAUAGACACAUCUGCGCACUAUGGCAGUAGUCGACAAUGUUGAUCAGUUGCUAGAAAUAUUUCCUUUCAUCAUCGUUCUCUUUCAACCUCUUGUGUGAAGCCUAGGCACGGAUCACAACAAAUUAAGUAUAUAGACACAGUGGGGAGCAUAAUCCACCUGUGACAAGCUCCCCUAUGUUCCCCUAAACCAAAGAGGAAAUAAAAUACAUGCACAUAAAAAUUGGAUUGAUAGUGUGUGAAUAAACCUCUCUCUCUCUCCCUCCCUCCCUGGCUCCCUCUCUGUCUCUGCCAUGGUGUGCAACCAACGUCCGAAAAUUCAGAAAAUGGAUUCAUGAAGUAACAGAAACCAUUGAAAGCUACUGCUUGAGAGGAAUUAGACUGCUAUUAGUCAGUAGGUAUGGUACACAUCUAGUUCAUGCUAAUAACAUCUUCCAUUAGAUGCUUAAAUCGCACUUCAUAUUACCUAAAUUAAAAUAGGCAUUGCUACAGCAAAUAAGAAACACGCAAAUAUGCAGCUAAAUUACCUCAUAAAACUAUUAGCAAGGUAAUAGCAAAACCUUCAGCUCCUUCCAGCAAAUGCUUGGUUUCCACUCCGGCAAACACUCCUUGCCACUGAAAUCUUUGCUGGUGUUUGCAAAAUUAUGCAAAUGGGGUUGCAUUAAGACGGCCAAACAAAAAAAUAGGCCAGCCAACCAAUUUUUUUUGGAUGGACACUGCCCCAUUCUAAUCCAACCAUGGCAAUGAUCCGUCGAUCCCAAGUGUGUCAAAAGACACCAAUUGUUUUCUCCCCUGCCAGAAAAUAAGACCGAGCAGACCGCAUCAACAUAUAAAAGGAACCCAUAGCCCCAGGAGCAACCUACAACCAGUCAAAAGAAUAACAUGAAGCACUACCUUUCACAAGAAACCUCCAAGGUCUAAAUUGUUAUGAUUCCUGUCUAAUAUUUCAUUGAAGUCAAACCUAGACAGCAUUACAAUAACAUAUGUCAGAAUAUAAAACUAAAUUACAUUUAGAAAGGUAUCUCAAGAGAAAUUCAACGAUAUAAUCAAGAAAGAAUACAACCCUUCAUCCAACACGGAGAUAGGGUGCGGGGAUAGAUCAUGGGAAGGAGGAGGGAAGCGGGGAGUACCUACGCGUGGGGGGAGGCACCACCGGAGUUGAAAGAGAGACUCCCAUGGCCAGCGGAAAGCCGAAUCGCGCGUGGGGCGAGGGAGGAGACGGAGAGGAGCCGCCGGAGUCCACCAGGGCCGCGCCGGCGACGAAGGCGAUGCCCAGCCCGAAACCCUAGCCACGACUAAGGGUCGCGAAUGAGCGCGAGAGGCCGUGCGCCGUGGAUCUGGCUCCGGAAGCGCAAGCGUCUCUUGACUGAGGCACGACGUCGACGGCGCCGCCUCCUCCACAACUGCGCCACGGACACCUCGGCCACCUACCCAGCCCGACCCCUCCUGCCGGUGGCGGAGGCGGCGCGCGAUCCAGAGCAGUGCGUCCGACGGCGUGCGGGUCUAGGGUUUGGAGGGAGGAGAGAGCCGAGGCGGCAGGAAGAGGAGAGCGGCACCAGGUUUCCUCCACGGAGCGGCUGGUUGUUAUAUGCCUAAGCGCGAAAUGACAAAAAUGCCCCUGGUGGGGCACCGAAUUUACAGGCAGUGGCGAAGCACUAUUCAUGGCGUUUAUAGGGUGACGUGGAUAGCUUCCUCCUGGCUAGGAGUCUAGCAUCUUUUAUAAGAGAAAUUCCCCUUGGGAUGGGACUGCUAGUUAACCUAGUAAGUUGGGCCUUAGUCUUCUCGCUAGCUUACGCCUCACCCAAAAUAAUGUAACAACCUCCACAGCAUAGUUCCAGAAUUGUGUUGACCUUGAUUCUUGAUCACGAAAUUGCACAUAUCCAAUUGUGUUGACCUUGAUUCUUGAUCACGAAGUUGCCUCUUAUCCCUCUACGUUCUUUGAAUAUGAGGAAAACUUUCAUGCAAAUCCACUUCAUUUUGUUCUCUAUCACCAUUGAUCUCCUUCAACAAGCCUUCUCAUCAUUAGUUACGACCUAAAUCAUCUCCGCGCAAACUUCUCUAUUUUACAGCCCAACACAUGCAAGAAAAAAACUAAGUGUCAAACAUACAUCCCAUACACCAUAUAAUGUAUGAGGCAAACAUAAAAAAAAAUUCUAUAUCAAUAAGACCUUUGUGUCUGCCAUUUGCAUAUGAAUAUAAAUUAAACUCCUAAGUUAAUAAAACAUAUACUCGAAAUGAGGACACAACAGAACAUAGAACUGAAAAUGUAAGUCCACGAACAUAUAUGCUAAAAAACAAUGAAAAUAGUAAACAAAAGCUGCAACAUGCACACAAGGAUAACAAAAAAAAUGCAAAGGAAAGACAUACCAUGAUCACCCAAAUAAUCUGGCAUGCAAAUAUCACUUUGUAUAAUAUACAUCUUUUCAAAUAAUCUGAUACGCAAAUAUCCUGCAAGCUCACAAGCCAGCAAAGACCAAUGAACUACCGAGGAACAGGGAUGCCCUAAGGGUUGGCUGAACAAAAGUUACAAUGAUACAUACCUGAAAAAUACAUUUCAUUAUAUCAAACAUCCAAUUCAGAAUCACUGGUCAUAUCCUCAACUAAAAUAACAUGUUGCAUGCUAAGUCAUUCAAGUGUGAUUUGUGAGUGACUCAAAAUUCAGAGUGCAACACCAAUAUCUUAUCAGCAGUUAGUGUACUGGACAAGCGUACUCCAAUUAGCAAAAAACUGAGAGAAAUGCAGAAAAAUGUUAGUUAAAGAAUGACGAUCCACAAUUCAAAAUAGAAGAGAAGUGGAAUAGAAGGAGUGCAAGAUUUUCCUCAGAACACAAUAGUACAUCACCAAGCUAGUGGUGAAAAUGCAAUAAAUUAAAUGAAAAAAAUACACAAGCACAAUGUAAUGUAAUUAAAUAAUGAAACUAAUGCCCACUACUUCACUAUUAAACAAGUACUCCCUCCGUUUCAAAAUAUAAGACCUUUUAGAGAUUACACUAGGAGACUACAUACGGAGUAAAAUGAAUGAAUCUGCAUUUUAAAAUAUGUCUAUGUACAUCCGUAUGUAGUUCAUAGUGCAAUAUCUGAAAGGUCUUAUAUUUAGGAACGGAGGGAGUACAUUAUAAUUUUUACUCCUUGUUAUGCAUGUCGUUGAUAUAUCAACCUGGAGCAACAAAAUAAAAUUCAGUUCUUAGAUACAUAUAACCUUGAUAUUAGUAAAAAAUGUUUGGUUUUAUUGUGCUAUUUCCAUUUUCUAUGAACAUAUUGCUAGCCAUGUAAAGUUGCUACAGACAACAGACAACGAAAUAUGGGGUCUCCUAGUGUGGCGUCAUGUAGACAUAUGUUACCACUGAUGAAAUAUCAUGUAAAAGAAGCCAUCAUGAUAAGUUUUCUUCUUUUAGCUUACGGUAACCUGAAUACUGAAGGUAAAGAUUUGACAUAAAAAAUAUUAGGACAAAAAAUAGUUAGCCAGUUCCAUAUGCACAUGUCCUUGGUGUAUAAUAGUCUGACCCCCUUAUCUAGUGCAUGGGAGUUUACUGGAGGGUAACAUCAAUAACAAGAAUACGACAAACGGAUAAUUUCAUAUCUUUAGCGCCAAUGGUAUGCAAUUCUUUUAUUGCUUAUUCGUGCUAGAAACAAACAUUUUAGAGAGACGUGAUAUUGUAUUCCAAUUCCCGCCAUACCCCACUUGAUACACUAAUAUAGCAACCAGAUAACACUGUAGUCGUUGGUAAAGUGACCAGUGACAUAUCCUAAUUACAAACCAAUCUUGCAUGAGUACAUUUAUUUAUUAUAUAAGUACUCCCUGUGUAAACAAAUAUAAGACCUUUUAGAUCACUGGGAGGGGGGACACAUGAUAUCAUCUUUCCUGUUUUCCACUAAUUUCUUGCAAGAGGAAAAAAAGAUAGUAAAUCUGAGCACUAAUAGAAGAACAACGACACAAGAGAUGUAGAUUUGUAAAAAAUUGUUAGUGGCAUGAUUUUUUUUUAUUAAGAGAUUGCAUUUAAAUUAAAUUAUGGUCUGGCUAUUACCUUGAAUUUUGGGAUCCUCAUAUUCACCUUUCGUCUAAAAGGACAUGCUUAAAACAUUAAGCACCUGAUGCAAUCAACAGAGAAUAAUUAUUAGAUAUAAUGUAUUAAGAAAUUCUAAAGGUUUGGAAUUAGAUUUUUUUUUGCUUACGUCGUGGAAUCAAUGGAAUUUUUUAGCCUUAGUUAGGAUUAUACAUCUAUAAUUUGUUAAGGCACAAACUAAUCCGGUUCGGCUCUCACAUGAGGCCAUGGGGUUUGAAAAAAUUAUGAAUUGAUUCGGCUCUCUUCCUCUUCAUGUCUACAAAAGCACAAACAAAUAACUGGAAAUGUUAUAAUUGAUUCUUAGUGCCUAGAAUCUGUAUGAUUUCAUACUUCUAGGACAUGGGAAUAAACUUGCCAUUCAAAAAUUUCGCAACCCAGGAAACCCUCCAUCCUCAUGCUAAUAACCAAGGAUUCACCUAGGAAACACAACCACAUUCAGUGUUACAUUAAUUUACUUACUAAUUAAAAAACAUCUUCCUCCCCCAUGUUCCAAAGCUGGGAUAAGCAGGACAAACGCUUCAACUCCACCCUUCAUAUAUCCGAUCCCUAGUUCAUGCGAUGGAGAAUUAUGUCUACUCCCUUUCUCCUGGCCCCAAUCAUGUGCCAUUUUCUCACCUGCUGCAUCAGCGACCACAUGAUCACAUAUCAAUAUAGACAUCCUAGCAGAUGGCAGCAUUUGGAUAUGAAUGCAGCUAAUUAAUACAACAAUCAAUAUGGAGCAAGAGUUGUACGUGUACCAGGACACCUAGUGACCCUGUGUUGUGGGUGUAGGACUGUUAAAAUUUCCAAGGUCCCUUGCGUUAGAUCGGGCAAUGGUUAUUGUACCGAGUGAGUGCACCGUUCAUGGCAACCCCGUGUUGAAAGGAUACAAACCACACGGAGAUGACUCAUUAUUACUUUCUGCAUUUCAUCUUAUUUCUUUCAUUUCACCAAACAAACGAAUAAUGAAGCAAGCAGUAUAAAUUGAAGGGACCAUUUGACUUUCGUGAAAAAAAAAGACAAAAAAAAGAGAAAAGUAAAGGAGGAAUUUUACCUGAGCAGAACAAGAGGCUCGCCAGGCUAUCUUUGGUAAGACCAAUUUGAGUCGGCCUCCGUGCUCGCCAGAAAUCCGGGUCGUCCAAGUCGAGGAACGGGGUCGCGGGUCAUGUAUCGCCACCCCUCCGGAACGAGGUGCGAUGAAGGGUAUACAUCUUCGGGAUGUCAAUUUGGAACGUCGAUCACGAUCCAAAACAUUUGGGGUCGAUGAGCCCGGGUCGUUGUUAUUUCACCAUGCAGGGAUAGAAAGAACCCGCCAUUACCUCUGAAAAUAUUAGGAUCUGCGCGGUAAUUUUUUUCAUCUUCAUCAGAAUAAAUGGAGCCACAGGUCGAGCCAUCCACGGCGUGAUUUUUUCAUCUUCCGUUUUCUUUCACACGAAGCCUAUGCGCAUUUGUGUCAAAACAAAUGUUCGCAUGAACUGUCCCCAGAUCUCUCUUCUUCAGGUCAUCUGCAAAGCUCUAGUCCUUGAUCCAGUUCCAACUCGAGACAUCCAGCACCCUCUUCUUUGCCCUUCCAGCCGUUCCUUCUUCCUUGUGCAGUCUUUUGUUCUAUCAAUGGUGGGACUGCAAGAGAGGGACGGGAGUGAGCGCAUACCGCAGCACGCAGCUCGACGACCAGCAGGCGAGUGGCAUAUCGCAGGAGAGCAUGCUGCAGUAGUCCGAUGGAGUUGAGAACUUUGGAGCACAAUUGCCAGGUAAGCUUGAUUCAUCAUGAACUCCCGUUCAGAUCACACAUAGAUGUUCUUGGCUAGCUUAUUGCAAUCUACCCUACCGAUCUGGGGGUUCAAGAUUCGAUCGGGGUCACGAUCCGCCCAACGACCCACCACGACCCCACCUCGUCCAUGACCCUCGUUUGGGGUCGAUCGACCCGGGUCAGGGAACGCACCCUCGAUCCGCGAACCUGGCUACUAUGCUCCAACACCGAGGUGUUCGCCUUGUCGUCCUGGCCGAAGAAACUUGCAACAGCUUGGGGUGAGAGGCAAACGUGGAUAGAGCCGAUGGGAUUUGCGGGUUGAGGUCGCCGUGGGCAUGGAGGAGUUCGGCACCGGCAACGGGGUCUAGAGCGAGGGGUUCGGGGGAAGGAGAGGUGGGACACUGGGACGUGCGUACGUGCGCUCUUUUAUUCCUUUUUUGUUUUUUUCUUUUGUGCGAGGGGUGGGAAGGAGCGAAGGAGGUCUGGUUUUUUCGGGUGCGGGAAGAAGUUUACAAUGUGUAAGGUUAUGAGGUUGAACCAUCACGACGACAGAUUCUCCUUUAGUAGCAGAUUAGUUAAAUGCCCGUGCGUUAUCACGGCAUAUGAAAUAUUAUAUGAAAAAAUCAUUUGAAAAAAUAGCAUGGAAUUUGGACAUUUUAGACGCUUGUUUUUUAUAUUGAAUAUAUUUUAGAAAGAUAACAAUGUUAAAGGUAAUUGAAAAUCUAUGAGCAUGGACAAACUUGUUUGAAAAUGUAGAUAAUAACUAAAACAUUGAUAAAAUUAACACAUCCGUUAAAAUGCCAUAGACACAAACAAACAUGACGAAACAGUCAUCUACAUAGUAUAUACAAACCAAAUUCGUGAUAACUAAACUUACAAAUUAAAAUACAUAAUCAUAUGUAUAAUAGACAUAAACAAUGUCUUCUAUUUGUACUACAUGCGCCAAGCUUUCUUUGUAUACAUUCUGCGUCGGGGAUCAUUUGUAGACAACUUGCUUGCUAGGAAAGCCCAUCUCCACUCAAUAAAUUGACGAACAAACUUCAUGUCAGUAAACCCCCUAUUAUUUUCUAGCGAAUAUCUGCUCAAAUAUAUAUAAAAAUGUUACAAUUAGUAAUAUUUAAUUUUUUCUACAUAUAUUAAUAACAAUCAUAAGUAAUUAAAAUAUAGUUAAUUAUAAAUCAGAACAAUCAUAAGUAAUUAAAUUGUAGUUAAUUAUAAAUUGUAGUAAUUAAAUAUCUUGAUUAAUAUGCUCUAAUAUAUACUUCAGCGUUGCAACAAAAAACAAUUUUACAAUCCAAACUACUGCACUUAUGACAUGCCCCUUUCUAUUUUCAGAAUGUGAAUUAGCCAGAAUUUUUAUGAUUUAGUGUCACGUACAAACGUACAGUUAACUGCUAUAGGUAAAAAUUCAGCUUAAGUAAUACAGACUUGUCCGAUUUUUUUAGGCAAAAAAAUCACCCUGGCCAAGUCUCUGCCCGACCUCACUCUAUCUUCACUCACCGGUCAUCACCUCAUCCCGUUCCCCAUCCCGUCACACUCCCGUGCUAUCCACUCAUCCCCUCACACUCCCACCACUAUUCACUCUGAAGCUCACUUGUGGUGCCGCCGCCGCCGCCCCUUCUCUCCGACGCGGCCGUCACCGGAGCCGCCCUCCUCCCCCGCUCACGCAUGCCUCCUGCUCCCAUGGUUCGCGGCUCCCUCCCUGCUCCAAACCCUAAGCCCCCGUCCCCCUCGCGCCACCUGCUCACCUCUCCCCCUCCAUCUCCCGCGGGACUUCCUCCCCGACCGCCACCACGCCAUCCGCGCCGACCGCGGCCUCCGCCCCGCCGCUCGAAGACUGUCUUUGUUGGCCUCGCCAGAUCGAUCAACUUGAUCGAUGCUCCUGGACGUGGAUAUAAACUAAUAGUACGUACGUAUACGAGCAGUUCUAGCCGGCCUUUUUCCAGAUUGAUCUCACGCACACACGCCGAUGUAUUACAACAGGCACGUCUCGUACCUUGCUAUUUUCUUUAUUUAUUCUGGUACUCUUUACAACGUAUAUGCCCACAUAUAUAUAAGGGACUAAACCGACCUGAAGCUAGCUAGCUUAGCAAUCCUAAACUGAUUCAAACUAGGACUCCCAAUACUACACGCUCACGUAAACAUAAGUAGCAUGCAAGCCACGACUCUAAGGAAAAACACACUUCCGACUCUUACUCUUACACGUAAGUGUGGAUUAACAUCUAACAAUCUCUCCCUAAUCCAAACUUACCACAUCGACGACUCGAUUAAAUUGUCAUGUCUAUACACAUUAAGUAUGACCUGUCUGGAAACAUGCAGUGCUCCUUCCUUGCCCUGCUAUGUUGUGCCGCCGCCAUUGCUUGGCCGCCACCUUACACUCGGUUCGCACCAUACUUCUUAUACUUGCUUGCAAUAGAUCCACUCUCCAUUGCUCGCACACCUCCUCGCUUUACGAUGGCUUCGCGUACCAUCGUCCGCCUUCGGCAUCUCACCGAAUCCACACUGGCCGCAACCAGGACGCUCCACGAGGACAUGGACAUGACUCACGGAACACCGUGCACACUGCUUGUGACUCCUUUGACUAGACGACGCAAAAAAAACAAGAUGACUCUUUUUUUUUAUCCUUUAGAACAAUCUCGGAUCAUCCUCAUCAUCCUGGAUGAGAUUGCAAUCCGCCAGAUUUUUCUUCUUCUGUCCCCUCUUCUUUUCAGGACACUCAUAAGCAUGAUGUCCUAGGUCUUGGCAAUUGAAGCACUUGUCCUUGGACUUAUCACGACGACGCUCUCUUGCUCUCCACUCCGAUCUUGUCAACAAAAGUUGUUCGCCGUCUUGGUCAUCCUGGACAUAGCCGCGCAGUCGUUCUUCAUGAACCUUCAACCUUCCCGUGACUUCCUCCAUAGUCAUCGUUUUGAAAUCACCAAACUGCUCUAUGACAGAUGCAAUCUGGAGAAACUUUGAAGGAACAACUCGAAGAAUUUUCUUGACCGCACUUAUUCCUCAAACUUUUCUCCAAGCCCUCGUAUCCCAUUGGCGAUUGUUGUCAUCCGGAGAGCAAAGUCAUCGAUUGUUUCCGUGUCCUUCAUCUUGAGCCUCUCGAACUCGGACUUGAGGGUUUGCAACCUCGCCUCCUUGAUGCGAUCGUCUCCAAGCCGAUUCGUCUUUAUCGCCUCCCAAGCUUCAUGUGAUGUCGUCUUCUCAGCAAUGAAGGCAAACACAUCAUCCGGGAUACUUUGAUAGAUAGCCGUCAAUGCCUUCUGAUCCAUCAUGUCGUCCACCUUGCCUGAGACGGUCGAUUCCACCGCAUCCCAAACUCCUUGUGCGCGCAUCAACGCUUUCAUCUUGAUCGCCCAAAUCGAGUAGUUGCUCUUCGUCAGCAUCGGGUACGUGACAAACACGCUUCCACCUUUUUCAGCCAUGAUCUUGAUCGUCACUCCACGCAAUCACAUCGCUCACCCGACGACCUUGAACCUAGCUCUAGAUACCAAUUGUUGGCCUCGCCAGAUCGAUCAACUUGAUCGAUGCUCCUGGACGUGGAUAUAAACUAAUAGUACGUACGUAUACGAGCACUUCUAGCCGGCCUUUUUCCAGAUUGAUCUCACGCACACACGCCGAUGUAUUACAACAGGAACGUCUCGUACCUUGCUAUUUUCUUUAUUUAUUCUGGUACUCUUUACAACGUAUAUGCCCACGUAUAUAUAAGGGACUAAACCGACCUGAAGCUAGCUAGCUCAGCAAUCCUAAACUGAUUCAAACUAGGACUCCCAAUACUACACGCUCACGUAAACACAAGUGGCAUGCAAGCCACGACUCUAAGGAAAAACACACUUCCAACUCUUACUCUUACACGUAAGUGUGGAUUAACAUCUAACAGUCUUCGCCUCCUGCGCGGCGAGCGCGACGAGCAGAAGCUGGCGAGCCUCUUCAGAGUCAACCUCUUCACCUCACCCAGAGUGGAUGAAGCUACAUCAAGUUUAACAAAAGAUGCCUGGUGAGUCUUUUGAACAGUAGGCUCUACCCCAUCCAUGUGACACACAACCCACAGUUUUGUACCAGAGCUUGCAACAGAUGUGUUACGACUAUUGUUUAAUAACUUUCCAUGUGACACAACCCACAAUUUAUUUUCCAGGUCAAGCUGUCAGUAUUUGGCAGGGAGUUAAAUGUUAUCCUCAUUUCUAGAAGAGCUCGGCAUUUUGCUGGGACACGGUAGGUUUCAUGUGCUCUUUAAGACUGCAUAUUCCUGGAUCUUUCUUUACUCUAUAUCAGCCAAGUCCAUUUGUCCAUGCUUCUAUCCUAUCAUCUAUGUCCAUUUUUAUUUGUGUUGAUUUAUCACAUGCGUGUGUAAAUUCUUGUUUUGGGUGAUGCGUUGUUCAGGCUUUACUUCUGAAUUAAUACCUGACGGUCAUCUACUCUUUAUUUCCUCUACUCUGCCAAUUGAGGCCAGCAAAAUAUUGUCUAUGCUCUAUUGACUGCAUGUUGUCUGCUGUCCGGAUUUUUAUCGUGGUUAACUAUGCUAGCUCUAGCAUCAGAACCACAAGUCAGCAUCUCCCUUGUUUUACAAUGUUUAAUUAGCAUGUUCUCCCCACCUAGGGGGGGGGGGGGGGAUACAGUAGAUCCAAUCAGAACAAGAAUAUUGCCGACAGAAACUCAUCACGAAUUGAGAAUGAUCAAAGCAACUGCUACAAUUGCACAGCCAUCAAAAAAGAAGGAAACAAAGCAACCAAGCAAAUGCUAUAAUAAAUCACAUACAUGUGCACUGGAAACCGUCUAAGGACUUAAAAUAAUUGUGCAUUGGAAGCCGUCUAAGGACUUAAAACAAUUUGUUAGUAUCAUAGGGAAAGAGUUCAGUUUGAUUUUCAGAGCAUACAAACAUCAGUAUGAACUACUCCCUCCACCCCAAAAUAAGUGUCUUAAACAUCUGUUCGACUAUACAAGCCUAUUCUAAUGUAAUCUGGGCAUUGAAAAUAAAUAAAAGCACUCUUUCCUCAUAAAAAAAUAUACGAGCUUAAAAUUUGCGGCGACCACAACCAGACAAACAACGAUGGUCAAUCAUGGUUUCUCAAGACUGACAAUGCUCCCUCGAGUACUACACAUGAAAAAAAAA
rnacentral:lncRNA from 1 species